rnacentral:tRNA from 1 species
GCGGGAGUGCCGGAGUGGUCAAACGGGCAUGGCUCAAGACCAUGUGGCUUAGUGCCUGCGAAGGUUCGAACCCUUCCUCCCGCA